rnacentral:rRNA from 1 species
CCUACGGGAGGCAGCAGUGAGGAAUAUUGGUCAAUGGACGAGAGUCUGAACCAGCCAAGCCGCGUGAGGGAGGACUGUACUAUGGAUUGUAAACUUCUUUUGUAUGGGAAUAAAAUGUUGCACGUGUGCGAUGUUGUAUGUACCAUAUGAAUAAGGAUCGGCUAACUCCGUGCCAACAGCCGCGGUAAUACGGAGGAUCCGAGCGUUAUCCGGAUUUAUUGGGUUUAAAGGGAGCGUAGGUGGAUUGUUAAGGCAGUUGUGAAAGGUUGGGGCUCAACCGUAGAAUUGCGGUUGAAACUGGCAGUCUUGAGUACAGGAGAGGUGUGCGGAAUGCGUGGUGUAGCGGUGAAAUGCUUAGAUAUCACGAAGAACUCCGAUUGCGAAGGCAGUUCACUGGACUGCAACUGACGCUGAGGCGCGAAAGUGUGGGUAUCAAACAGGAUUAGAUACCCCUGUAGUC